rnacentral:rRNA from 1 species
ACAGAGGGUGCGAGCGUUGUUCGGAAUUACUGGGCGUAAAGAGCGCGCAGGCGGUCGUGCAAGUCGCGUGUGAAAGCCCCCGGCUCAACUGGGGAGGGUCACGCGAUACUGCUCGACUCGAAGGCAGGAGAGGGAAGUGGAAUUCCCGGUGUAGUGGUGAAAUGCGUAGAUAUUGGGAGGAACACCAGUGGCGAAGGCGGCUCACUGGACCGGAACUGACGCUGAGGCGCGAAAGCGUGGGGAGCAAACAGGA